GAUGACUCCGUGACUAAACUGCCAUAUUACACUGGGGAUGGUGAGGACCACACUGACUUUCAACCUGCUCCAGCUCAGAAGACUGAUGCCCCUAGUGAGGACUAUGAUAAUGCUGAAGAGGUCCCAGGGCCUGAGGCUCCUUUUGCCUCCUGGAUGAACGAGGGGGAAGUGCCCCCAGGGGAGGAGAAUGUGGUGAGGGCCUCUCCAACAGGCUCUUCUCUACAGUUCUACAGAGGGGUAGCUGGUCCUGGGAAAGAAGAAACUAGUUCCUGGUUGCUUCAGGGGGAAGAGAGGGAUCCUGGAUAUGAUGACGUUGAACUAAAUGCCCCU